UGAGUGCCUGGUCCCUGCUGGCUCCACGUGGAGCCGCCCCAAGGGUGCAAGCUGAGGCAGGAUGCCCGGGCUGCCUGGCACUGGGUCCUGCCCUCCUGGGGAGGUCUGAGGAGAAUGCUUGCUCACUGGGAGUCUCCUGUUGGCAGUGUGCAUUUCCAAUUCCUGGUGACCGUGUUUCUGUGUCUGUGACCUGAAUCUGCUCUACCGUCUGCGGGGUCCCGGUGUCCUCUCCUCAUCCCCGAAGCCUCACAAGCAGAGGGGAGUGACGCUGCUCAUCAGAUGGACAAUGACUCUGUGCCCUCCGGGGGCCCCACAGGAUCAUGGGUCCUGAGAACAGAAGAGGUGGACAGGGGGACCUGGAGAGCUGCCAUGCUGAGAGGACCAGGAGAGGGCCAGGAGAGGGCCAGGAGAGGGCCAUGGGCACAGCGGCGCAGCACAGGUGCCCCCAGCAGCUGGCAAAGGCCCAGAAACAGGCCCCGGCCUCCACACCUCAGGCUCAGGCCUCCACUGGGGUCGGACCGCUGACUCCACACAGUGCCGCAGGAUGCUGGGUGACACUAAGCUGCCACAAACCUCACUGCGGGCCGGGCGGGCUGGGGGCCCACUGGCCCCCGGUGCUUGCAAUGCUGGCUCUGCGUGUGGUUUUGCUCGUCCCUUUAUCACAGCCUCGAAGUCAGGAUGGCCCCGUUCAGACUUCUGCUGCAGGGCAGCGGUGUGAGGGUGCUGGCCUCCUUUUCUCCUGCGCGUGUGCUGGUGUGUGUCCUGAGUGUGCAGGGUGAUGUGUGUGCUCUUGACAAGGCAGCAGCAGGCCUGCUGGUGGCAGGGAGGGUCCCCUCGCCCUGCCCUCCCUGUGACCUGGGCUCCUGGGAAUUCUGUGUCCUUGUCCACGAAGCGAGGCUUCA
rnacentral:lncRNA from 1 species